rnacentral:lncRNA from 1 species
GGUGAUGGUGACGAUGGUGAUGAUGACGAUAUUGACGAUGAUGACGGUGUUGGUGGUUUGUUAGAAUGUUUCUGAUGGUGAGGGUGACGAAUUACCAAUCAUGAUAAGGUUUCUGACCAUGGUAGCUAUUAUAUAAUUCAAAGAUGCUUUGAAUGCAAUUUUGCAGUAAUUUACACCACAAUCAUUAUAGUUCCUUGAUAUUUGAUCAAGUCCAGAUCAAAUACCAUAUUUGAGUAAAUAGAUUUCCAUGAAAUUAUAAUUGGCGUCGACCUCCAUUUCAAUAGAUUACAUUGAGGUAUAUCUCCACACAUAUUCAUUUCGUAUUUUUUUCAAAUUAAUCAUUGCAAGUGUACACCAUAAAUAAUCGUUAUUCGUGAUCUGACUUGUACGUCGAACAAUCGAGAAGGGUGUGUGUGAGUUUUUGUGACAAUUGUGUGAUUACACGGCAAUAUUGGUAUUCACUGAUCAUCGACCAUAUCUUCAAUGCGUGAGCACGGUGUCACUGUGAGGUUAAUACUUGCUGAGAGAACAUAUCACGAUACAUUGUCGACCAACGAACAACGUCGAGCUAGGUAAAAGAUAUCAAACAGUUGGGUGGUCUUACACAAAUAUUCGACAUUGGCAUAAGGCAAGGAAGCGAAGUAAGGAUGAGUCAAUAUCAUCAACAGAGUGGAAGGGACCCAGGUGGCAGAAAAAAUGAACCUUCAGAACAUGAUCAGGUAAAGAUAAAGGUGGACUUUAACGGGACAAAAAAAUCCUUAGAAGUAGUCUUGGAUUGGACCCAAGACUUCCUGAUUGAGCAGAUCGCAGCCCUUAUCAACGUAGAUAUAAGUCAAUUUUACGUGACUUUUGAGAGUAAGAAGUUGCAUGGUGCCAAAAUGAUAUUUCAUGUUGGAAUACGGGAUGGUAAAACAGUAUAUGUCAAUUUGCGACUGCGAGGUGGGCUUAAAGUUAUAUUUUAAUGAUAUAAUAAUGUACUCGGGAGCCGGUAGUGCAUCUUUUCUCAAUGCUAUCAUUCGCACUCCUAUUUCCACAAGUAAGAUUUACACUGCCCCACUCCAGAAAAACGAUAGCUGCAGAUGAUAUUAUUUUUUCUAGCGUUUACUUCACUCAUUCAAAAUAAUUUGGUUUAACUCUGUAAAUUCAUACUAUUAAGUACAUAGAUAAACAUAGUGAAACGAUUCUCCACGUUUUAAUGAUUUUUCUUGUCGGUUCUCUGAUGUAUUUUUCUUAUGUAUUUGAAUAAUAUGUAUAUCUUAGACAUGGUUAUAUUCUCCAAUUGAAUUAAAUUUCCUUUGCAUUUAUUACAGAUUGAACAAACAAAAUAUAUAACAGAUAUAGGAGUGACAUUAAGUUUGAUACCAAGUAAUGAGGUGAUUAGUCACAGGAAAUUUCAUCUAAUUUACUGGAAUUUUAGUCAUCGAAUGAUCAUAAUGGAAAUGAUUUUAUUACAUGAAUAAAGCUUCUUAAUUCCGUCAUCACCCAUUCCACACUAUUGGUCAAACACCCAGCUCUAAAAACUGCUGUAUAUUUUAUAGAACGAUUUAUUCUUACAUCAUAUACUGGAUCUCACCAUUCUAUAUAAUGGCGCUAUAUAGUUUCAGGGGCUGAAAGCUCUUUUCAAAGGUGGCGGACACAAUUGAGUUUACCAUUUUUCUUUGUAAAUAUAUAUAUUUACACACACAUAUGUACGAGAGACUAGUCGAACCGAUACCCCUUUUCCUACCCAAGUUCUUAACCAAAAUAUAUCGAUAUGAUAUAUAUUUCGAAAUUCAAGGAUACAUGUUUGAUUACGAUUUUGAAUGAUGCAUUUUAUUCCAUCAUAAAAGAGCACAAAUAGUGGGGAUAUUUUAUAUUGUGUCCCUCUAUCCCCUUUGGUAUUUUCGCCCAUGUAUAGUUCACUGCAAAAGUUCAGCCAUAUGUUAAUAUUAAAUUGUUCAUUAGUGAUAAUGUUCAACUGGUAUUUGAUUUUUAAAGUUUUGUCAUGAAUCGAUUGUUUGGUACAAAUGCAUUGCUUUACUGUGAUAAAUUGAUAGAAUGUCUAGUAAUCAAACUUAUUGUGACAACCCAAUAUAAUGAAAAGGGUUCAGAUAGAGAUUAGAUAUUUUUCAAUUAAAUGCCAUUUAAUCUGCAUGCAAAUGUAUAUACAUGAUGACACAUGUAAGUGGUAGUUAAGGUGUUUAAUGUGUGAAAAUAAAUGGAAAUGUAUUCAUGAGGUUGAUUGCCUGGAGUCGCUUGAAUUCUUAAAAUUAUUAAUACUAUAAAAGAUAACUAUCGAUUAGUAUUCAUCUUUUUAUAAACUUUUAUACACAGCCCCCAACAUUCGAAUAUAAAUGAUACAUUAAUUUGUAUUGAAUUGCACACACUUUCUAUUGUUUAUACACUCAUUUAAAUUUAUAUACCAAAGGGUUUGCUCUUCUUUGUAAUAAGUUUAUCUAUUUGUUCCUAUGUGUGUCGUAAUGAUUUUUUCAGAUUAAAUGGUUUAGUUCCC